AAUAUAUCAAGGGGGCAUUUCCUUGUCAAAUCCUUGAAUCUCUCCCAGGCUUCAUAAAUUGUCUCACCAUCUUGCUGUCUGAAUGUCUACACUUCAGUUCUCCGCCU